CUCCUACGGGAGGCAGCAGUGGGGAAUUUUGGACAAUGGGCGAAAGCCUGAUCCAGCAAUGCCGCGUGCAGGAAGAAGGCCUUCGGGUUGUAAACUGCUUUUGUACGGAACGAAACGGCUCGCUUUAAUACAGUGGGCUAAUGACGGUACCGUAAGAAUAAGCACCGGCUAACUACGUGCCAGCAGCCGCGGUAAUACGUAGGGUGCGAGCGUUAAUCGGAAUUACUGGGCGUAAAGCGUGCGCAGGCGGUUAUGUAAGACAGUUGUGAAAUCCCCGGGCUUAACCUGGGAAUUGCAUCUGUGACUGCAUGGCUGGAGUACGGUAGAGGGGGAUGGAAUUCCGCGUGUAGCAGUGAAAUGCGUAGAUAUGCGGAGGAACACCGAUGGCGAAGGCAAUCCCCUGGACCUGUACUGACGCUCAUGCACGAAAGCGUGGGGAGCAAACAGGAUUAGAUACCCUGGUAGUCCACGCCCUAAACGAUGUCAACUGGUUGUUGGGUGCAUUAGUACUCAGUAACGAAGCUAACGCGUGAAGUGACCG
rnacentral:rRNA from 1 species